rnacentral:rRNA from 1 species
GAGUGGCGAACGGGUGAGUAACACGUGGGUAACCUGCCCAUCAGAAGGGGAUAACACUUGGAAACAGGUGCUAAUACCGUAUAACAAUCGAAACCGCAUGGUUUUGAUUUGAAAGGCGCUUUCGGGUGUCGCUGAUGGAUGGACCCGCGGUGCAUUAGCUAGUUGGUGAGGUAACGGCUCACCAAGGCCACGAUGCAUAGCCGACCUGAGAGGGUGAUCGGCCACAUUGGGACUGAGACACGGCCCAAACUCCUACGGGAGGCAGCAGUAGGGAAUCUUCGGCAAUGGACGAAAGUCUGACCGAGCAACGCCGCGUGAGUGAAGAAGGUUUUCGGAUCGUAAAACUCUGUUGUUAGAGAAGAACAAGGAUGAGAGUAACUGUUCAUCCCUUGACGGUAUCUAACCAGAAAGCCACGGCUAACUACGUGCCAGCAGCCGCGGUAAUACGUAGGUGGCAAGCGUUGUCCGGAUUUAUUGGGCGUAAAGCGAGCGCAGGCGGUUUCUUAAGUCUGAUGUGAAAGCCCCCGGCUCAACCGGGGAGGGUCAUUGGAAACUGGGAGACUUGAGUGCAGAAGAGGAGAGUGGAAUUCCAUGUGUAGCGGUGAAAUGCGUAGAUAUAUGGAGGA